UCUAGCAUGUGCGCGAGUCAUUGGGACUCUUUUUUAGGAAAGCCCAGAGGCGCAAUGAAAGUGAAGAUCGGCCUUUUCGGCUUGAUCGAGGGAGGAUGGCUCAUUGUUAUUUUUUAUAAUGACGGGCUCGCACUCCCGGGGCGUCUCGCGCUCAUUUCGAGCGGAGGCGCACCCAGAGCGUACACGCUGGGACCCGAAAGAUGGUGAACUAUGCCUGGUCAGGACGAAGUCAGGGGAAACCCUGAUGGAGGUCCGUAGCGAUUCUGACGUGCAAAUCGAUCGUCGGAACUGGGUAUAGGGGCGAAAGACUAAUCGAACCAUC
rnacentral:rRNA from 1 species